GCGGGUGUAGUUCAAUGGUAGAAUUCCAGCCUUCCAAGCUGGUUACACGGGUUCGAUUCCCGUUACCCGCUCCA
rnacentral:tRNA from 2 species